GGGGUUGUGGCUCAGUGGUAGAGUGCUCGCCUAGUAUGCAUAGGGCACUGGGUUCGACCCUCAGAACCCCA
rnacentral:tRNA from 1 species